AGUGAACGCUGGCGGCGUGCCUAAUACAUGCAAGUCGAACGGACAAGUAAGAGCUUGCUCUUAUGAGUUAGUGGCGCACGGGUGAGUAAUGUAUAGCUAAUCUGCCCUACACUAGAGGACAACAGUUGGAAACGGCUGCUAAUACUCUAUACUCCUGUCUUACAUAAGUUAGAUAGGGAAAGUUUUUCGGUGUAGGAUGAGGCUAUAUUGUAUCAGCUAGUUGGUGAGGUAAUGGCUCACCAAGGCUAUGACGC
rnacentral:rRNA from 1 species